rnacentral:rRNA from 1 species
UUCCUACGGGAGGCAGCAGUGGGGAAUAUUGCACAAUGGGGAAACCCUGAUGCAGCGACGCCGCGUGAGUGAAGAAGUAUUUCGGUAUGUAAAGCUCUAUCAGCAGGGAAGAUAAUGACGGUACCUGACUAAGAAGCCCCGGCUAACUACGUGCCAGCAGCCGCGGUAAUACGUAGGGAGCAAGCGUUAUCCGGAUUUACUGGGUGUAAAGGGAGCGUAGACGGUGUGGCAAGUCUGAAGUGAAAGCCCGGGGCUCAACCCCGGGACUGCUUUGGAAACUGUCAUGCUGGAGUGCUGGAGAGGUA